ensembl:lncRNA
CGCCGCCGCGCGGCCGCCGAGCCCGGCCGCGGAGCCCCCGCCGGGCUUGAAGGUCACCUCCGCCCGCUCGCCCCGCUCCGGAGCCGCUUUCGGCGGAGGCUGGCGAGCGGCAGCGCCUCCGCCCACAGCCGGCCAGGUCCCUGCCCGAGCGCCGCGGGGCUCCCGCUGGCCACGGCACAGCGCAGCAGCGGGAAGCCGCCCGCUUCGCUCGCCCCCUCCACCGGCCGCCGCUGCCCGCUCUGCCCGCGGGCGGGCCGGGGGCUCCGCUACCGGGCGGCGGCGGCGGGGGGGGCGCGGCGCGCAGCCGGGAGGGCGGGGAAGGGCUGAGGCGGCGGCGGCGGCGGCGGCGGCGAGGAGCCGCGUCCCGCUGCCACUUUCCCGGCGCGGCCGCUGGCUUCGGACGGGAGAGGCGCCGCGGUCGCCGCCCGCCUCUUUAUGGAAACUACACAGAAGCCCCAUGCAAGUGGUGCCUAUUGUUUUCAUGAUCGGAGACUUCUUUCUUCCUGUGAUGAAUUUACUAAGAUGCUUUGGAAUUACUCGACUUUCUUUGGGCUACAGCAGAAAACAACGUUAAGUGAAGCACAAGAUUCUCAAGCGUUGAGUGAAAUCUAAGCGAUUAUCACUGGAGGAGAGAGGGAGGACAAAUGGAGCUGAAUCUGGAGUAAAACCAAGGGAAAUUCUCACAUUAAAGAUUCACCGAUGAAUCUGCAGACUUUAUGCAAAUCCAGUGGGUAUUUUGUGGAAGUAUUAAUGAGUGUCACAUCCUGAUUACUGCAGACUUUCCCUUACGUUUCCAGCUGUAACAAAUCCAACUGAAACUGCUAAAAUCAACAACAGAAGUCCACAACAGUUUGUCAGAAAAAUGUAUGAAAAUUAUUUUUAACGUGUUUUACCCUAAUUAUUCUUGGAAACGUAUCUAGGUGUUAAUUUCAGAUAUCCUAUAUGUGUUCCCUGAUGGAUGACAGAUUUUAUGUUGGUUCCCUUAAAUCUGACAACAUUUAUAUUGGUCCCCUUAAAUCCCUCUAAAGGACCAUCUCCAGGACUGAGGUGUUUUUUGCAUCUCAGUGCAGGGGAAGCCUUGUAAGCUAACUGCCCUGGCACUGCGUCUCCUAUUAGAAAUCUGCUUCUUUACCAACAGCUACUGUGAGCAACCCUUUUUGCCAUGGCAUGUACUGGUCCUUUUGCUUUGCAUGACCUGCAGCCUGUGACAUAUAAAUUGACUCCAGACACAUCGAUUUAUUUGCUCUCAAAAACUGCAAAGAAUACAAAGUAAAAAAUAAUUCCUGAAAAGCCCUAAAAAACCAGUUAAUUAGCAUGUUCCUGUUUACCGAAGAAUUCUGUUCAAGGUUUUAUAUAUUAAAACAGAGCUAACUUGCCUGUCUCCCUGUGACCUUUUUGUUGCGUGGGCAGCCUGCUCUAGCUUGUCUCCCAGCCCUUAUGGGUUUUGAAUUUGUGAGGUGAUUUCAUGUUCCCUUUGCUCUCUUUUCACUUGGUCUUGCAAAGGCAUUCCGUCUUUAGAACUGGGCUAGGAAAGCCAUUGAAGGUAUCAUCAGUGUACAAAUAUGGGGGGAGAAAUGUUUUCAUGGCUCUGAUAUGAAGACAUCUAAAUAUGA